rnacentral:rRNA from 1 species
UUAAGCGACUAAGCGUACACGGUGGAUGCCUAGGCAGUCAGAGGCGAUGAAGGGCGUGCUAAUCUGCGAAAAGCGUCGGUAAGGUGAUAUGAACCGUUACAACCGACGAUACCCGAAUGGGGAAACCCAGUGCAAUUCGUUGCACUAUUGCAUGGUGAAUACAUAGCCAUGCAAGGCGAACCGGGGGAACUGAAACAUCUAAGUACCCCGAGGAAAAGAAAUCAACCGAGAUUCCCCUAGUAGCGGCGAGCGAACGGGGAGGAGCCCAGAGUCUGAAUCAGUUUGUGUGUUAGUGGAAGCGUCUGGAAAGUCGCACGGUACAGGGUGAUAGUCCCGUACACAAAAACACACUUGCUGUGAACUCGAUGAGUAGGGCGGGACACGUGACAUCCUGUCUGAAUAUGGGGGGACCAUCCUCCAAGGCUAAAUACUCCUGACUGACCGAUAGUGAACCAGUACCGUGAGGGAAAGGCGAAAAGAACCCCGGCGAGGGGAGUGAAAUAGAACCUGAAACCGUGUACGUACAAGCAGUGGGAGCACCUUCGUGGUGUGACUGCGUACCUUUUGUAUAAUGGGUCAGCGACUUAUAUUUUGUAGCAAGGUUAACCGAAUAGGGGAGCCGUAGGGAAACCGAGUCUUAACUGGGCGUCUAGUUGCAAGGUAUAGACCCGAAACCCGGUGAUCUAGCCAUGGGCAGGUUGAAGGUUGGGUAACACUAACUGGAGGACCGAACCGACUAAUGUUGAAAAAUUAGCGGAUGACUUGUGGCUGGGGGUGAAAGGCCAAUCAAACCGGGAGAUAGCUGGUUCUCCCCGAAAGCUAUUUAGGUAGCGCCUCGUGAACUCAUCUUCGGGGGUAGAGCACUGUUUCGGCUAGGGGGUCAUCCCGACUUACCAAACCGAUGCAAACUCCGAAUACCGAAGAAUGUUAUCACGGGAGACACACGGCGGGUGCUAACGUCCGUCGUGAAGAGGGAAACAACCCAGACCGCCAGCUAAGGUCCCAAAGUCAUGGUUAAGUGGGAAACGAUGUGGGAAGGCAUAGACAGCCAGGAUGUUGGCUUAGAAGCAGCCAUCAUUUAAAGAAAGCGUAAUAGCUCACUGGUCGAGUCGGCCUGCGCGGAAGAUGUAACGGGGCUAAACCAUGCACCGAAGCUGCGGCAGCGACACUUAGGUGUUGUUGGGUAGGGGAGCGUUCUGUAAGCCGUUGAAGGUGACCUGUGAGGGUUGCUGGAGGUAUCAGAAGUGCGAAUGCUGACAUAAGUAACGAUAAUGCGGGUGAAAAACCCGCACGCCGGAAGACCAAGGGUUCCUGUCCAACGUUAAUCGGGGCAGGGUGAGUCGACCCCUAAGGCGAGGCUGAAAAGCGUAGUCGAUGGGAAACAGGUUAAUAUUCCUGUACUUGGUGUUACUGCGAAGGGGGGACGGAGAAGGCUAGGCUAGCCGGGCGACGGUUGUCCCGGUUUAAGCAUGUAGGCGGAGUGACUUGGUAAAUCCGGUUGCUUAUCAACGCUGAGGUGUGAUGACGAGUCACUACGGUGAUGAAGUAGUUGAUGCCAAGCUUCCAGGAAAAGCCUCUAAGCAUCAGGUAACAUUAAAUCGUACCCCAAACCGACACAGGUGGUCAGGUAGAGAAUACUCAGGCGCUUGAGAGAACUCGGGUGAAGGAACUAGGCAAAAUGGUGCCGUAACUUCGGGAGAAGGCACGCUGGCAUUAGGUAAAGAGACUUGCUCUCGGCGCCGAAGCCAGUCGCAGAUACCAGCUGGCUGCAACUGUUUAAUAAAAACACAGCACUGUGCAAACACGAAAGUGGACGUAUACGGUGUGACGCCUGCCCGGUGCUGGAAGGUUAAUUGAUGGGGUCAGCCUUACGGCGAAGCUCUUGAUCGAAGCCCCAGUAAACGGCGGCCGUAACUAUAACGGUCCUAAGGUAGCGAAAUUCCUUGUCGGGUAAGUUCCGACCUGCACGAAUGGCGUAAUGAUGGCCAGGCUGUCUCCACCCGAGACUCAGUGAAAUUGAACUCGCUGUGAAGAUGCAGUGUACCCGCGGCAAGACGGAAAGACCCCGUGAACCUUUACUAUAGCUUGACACUGAACAUUGAGCCUUGAUGUGUAGGAUAGGUGGGAGGCAUUGAAGUGUGGACGCCAGUCUGCAUGGAGCCAACCUUGAAAUACCACCCUUUAAUGUUUGAUGUUCUAACUCGGCCCCGUGAUCCGGGGUGAGGACAGUGUCUGGUGGGUAGUUUGACUGGGGCGGUCUCCUCCCAAAGAGUAACGGAGGAGCACGAAGGUUAGCUAAUCACGGUCGGACAUCGUGAGGUUAGUGCAAAGGCAUAAGCUAGCUUGACUGCGAGAGUGACGGCUCGAGCAGGUACGAAAGUAGGUCUUAGUGAUCCGGUGGUUCUGAAUGGAAGGGCCAUCGCUCAACGGAUAAAAGGUACUCCGGGGAUAACAGGCUGAUACCGCCCAAGAGUUCAUAUCGACGGCGGUGUUUGGCACCUCGAUGUCGGCUCAUCACAUCCUGGGGCUGAAGUAGGUCCCAAGGGUAUGGCUGUUCGCCAUUUAAAGUGGUACGCGAGCUGGGUUUAGAACGUCGUGAGACAGUUCGGUCCCUAUCUGCCGUGGGCGUUGGAAGAUUGAGAGGGGCUGCUCCUAGUACGAGAGGACCGGAGUGGACGAAUCACUGGUGUUCGGGUUGUCAUGCCAAUGGCAUUGCCCGGUAGCUAAAUUCGGAAGAGAUAACCGCUGAAAGCAUCUAAGCGGGAAACUUGCCUCGAGAUGAGUCUUCCCUGGGGCUUUAAGCCCCCUGAAGGAACGUUAAAGACUAUGACGUUGAUAGGCUGGGUGUGUAAGUGCAGCGAUGCAUUGAGCUAACCAGUACUAAUGAUCCGUGAGGCUUAACCUU